UCGAGAAUCUUCCGCAAUGGGCGCAAGCCUGACGGAGCGACACCGCGUGCAGGAUGAAGGCCUUCGGGUUGUAAACUGCUGUCACGCUUUCGGAAUACCCGAAUGUAAAUAGCAUCCGGAUUGACCAGGGCGAAAGGAAGCACCGGCUAACUCUGUGCCAGCAGCCGCGGUAAGACAGAGGGUGCAAACGUUGUUCGGAAUUACUGGGCGUAAAGCGCACGUAGGUGGGCAGUUAAGUCAGGGGUGAAAGCCCGAGGCUCAACCUCGGAAUUGCCUCUGAUACUGGCUGUCUAGAGUUCGAGAGAGGUGAGUGGAAUUCCUAGUGUAGAGGUGAAAUUCGUAGAUAUUAGGAAGAACACCGGUGGCGAAGGCGGCUCACUGGCUCGAUACUGACACUGAGGUGCGAAAGCGUGGGGAGCAAACAGGAUUAGAUACCCGUGUAGUCCCUGAGCGGGCUGGCAAGGCGCAU
rnacentral:rRNA from 1 species